rnacentral:rRNA from 1 species
AGAGUUUGAUCCUGGCUCAAAGUGAACGCUGGCGGCAGGCCUAACACAUGCAAGUCGAACGGCAGCACAGAGGAGCUUGCUCCUUGGGCGGCGAGUGGCGGACGGGUGAGGAAUACAUCGGAAUCUGCCCAAUUGUGGGGGAUAACGUAGGGAAACUUACGCUAAUACCGCAUACGACCUUCGGGUGAAAGCGUGGGACCGUAAGGCCACGCGCGAUUGGAUGAGCCGAUGUCGGAUUAUCUUGUUGGCGGGGUAAAGGCCCACCAAGGCGACGAUCCGUAGCUGGUCUGAGAGGAUGAUCAGCCACACUGGAACUGAGACACGGUCCACACUCCUACGGGAGGCAGCAGUGGGGAAUAUUGGACAAUGGGCGCAAGCCUGAUCCAGCCAUGCCGCGUGUGUGAAGAAGGCCUUCGGGUUGUAAAGCACUUUUAUCCGGAAAGAAAAGCUCUUGGUUAAUAGUCGAGAGUUCUGACGGUACCGGAAGAAUAAGCACCGGCUAUCUUCGUGCCAGCAGCCGCGGUAAUACGAAGGGUGCAAGCGUUACUCGGAAUUACUGGGCGUAGAGCGUGCGUAGGUGGUUUGUUAAGUCUGAUGUGAAAGCCCUGGGCUCAACCUGAGAAUUGCAUUGGAUACUGGCAGGCUAGAGUGCGGUAGAGGAUGGCAGAUCUCCCGGUGUAGCAGUGAAAUGCGUA